rnacentral:misc_RNA from 1 species
CAACCCUCAAGCUCUGCUUGGUAUUGGGCUUCGCCAGUAAAACGGCUAGCCUUAAAAUCAGUGUGCGGUGCCGUUGGGACCUGAGCGUAGUAAUUAUUCUCGCUACAGGCUCCCCGCGUGCCUCUGCCAUUAAACCACAAACUUUCUAU